rnacentral:lncRNA from 1 species
AUGAAGCUGUUUGAUAACAGGGUCCUCGGGGACUUCCAGGUGUGCCAGGAGCUAACGGAUCACCAGGACUGCCUGGCCAGCUUGGUCCACAUGGACUACCAGGAAUAUCUGUCAAGGGAGAUCCUGGUCCACCAGGAGCAAAAGGUUUACGUGGGAAACAAGGCUACAAAGGAGACAAGGGGGAGACAGGCAGAGAUGGUACUGCAGGUUUACCUGGUCCCAUUGGCAUUGAUGGUGGGCCUGGCUAUCCAGGACAGAAAGGAGAGAAGGGAGAAGAUGGCAUCGGCUUGCAAGGUGUACAAGGAGCUCGUGGAGAGCCAGGACAGAAGGGCAGUAGUGGCCUAAUGGGACCAGUGGGCCCAAAGGGUGAGCGUGGAGAGCAGGGCAUCCAGGGACUCAUCGGACUUCGGGU